UACGUAGGGUGCGAGCGUUGUCCGGAAUUACUGGGCGUAAAGAGCUCGUAGGUGGUUUGUCGCGUUGUCCGUGAAAACUCACAGCUUAACUGUGGGCGUGCGGGCGAUACGGGCAGACUGGAGUACUGCAGGGGAGACUGGAAUUCCUGGUGUAGCGGUGGAAUGCGCAGAUAUCAGGAGGAACACCGGUGGCGAAGGCGGGUCUCUGGGCCGAUAUUGACGCUGAGGAGCGAAAGCGUGGGGAGCAAACAGG
rnacentral:rRNA from 1 species